CCAAUCCAGACUCGACCAACCGACCCUGAGAGUUUGGGCAUAUUGUUGGAGCCUCCCAUUUCCACACUCCCAUUUCCACGUUUACAAAAUGGUGACUAACAUCUCCCUGGAGACGUGCUGGGUGAGUACACCAAGACAAACACGUGAAGUGCUGAGACGCUAUCAGGCCCACUGCAAACGCCUAAUAAGUCCUGGCUGCUGUUCUCGCUCACCAUUGUUCUGGAAAGCAAGAUGCUGUGGCAAGGGGAAGCACAGACACUACAAGAACAAUGCCUUCAGGGGCAGAGGUGGCCAGCAGCUGCCCAGGCUGCUGCCUUGUUCAGGCCAAGCCCCGAAGUGUGUGUGUGUGUGUGUGUGUGUGUGUGUGUGUGUGUGUGGAGGGGGAUACUGGUGUAGGGGACCCAACUUCCUGUACCAGCGAGACUGUGUGACCUGGGGGUGCCUCCCAACCUGCAGAGGUCAAUUUGCCUCUUUGCUUCUGUAGCUGCCCUCCGGAGACAGCAGCAGCAGCAGCAGUGGCGGAGGGAGAAGCAGCUGGGGUUGGCGCUCAGCCACUCCAGCUGUCGUCUUUGGUAACGUGUUUAUCUGCUCCAGAGGGAGAUGGAUGGCUGAGCAAGGAGGUGUACGGGAGGCUGGACUCCACACACAGUGACCUGCCAGCUUGGUUGGAGUACCCAUGCAGUCUCAGAACAGGAUUCUAGGCAGACCGGGAGUGACACGGGCAGCCAUGGGAUGCUCUCACUUGUUUGAGGUUCAAGUGUGUGCACAUUUGUUAACAGGUUUCUACUGGAGGAACCAAAGAGGGUACGCCAAGCUCAUCCUGCUUGGGGCUUGGUGCACAGCAGUCACCCACAGGUGCUCUGGAGUCCGAAGGCAGAUUCAGGAGCCAGCAGCUGAGUGUGUCGGUGCUGUACUCUGUAACCAAGUGCAAAGCCACAAUGGCCGACCAAAGCCGUGGGGGCCACAGUAUGUUCAUCCUCUCCAGGGAGGGGGGCAGGGAAAAAAGACAA